rnacentral:snRNA from 1 species
AUCACUUCUCAACUCCCAGAGCUAUGAUCACCUGCAAUAUCUGUUUUUUUUUUUUGUAAUGUAACUUUUGUAAUGGCUCCUAGUUUGAGAUCAUUAAAGUUGAUCGUAAUUCUUACUAACUGGGAUGGAUGCUGUGAGCUUGCUCAACCCCGUCCACGGGUCAGCCUUGCAUUGCAUUACCUCGAGGGCUGGUCCACUUAUA